UGGGGAAUUUUGGACAAUGGGCGCAAGCCUGAUCCAGCAAUGCCGCGUGAGUGAAGAAGGCCUUCGGGUUGUAAAGCUCUUUCAGUUGAGAAGAAAAGAUUGUAACUAAUAAUUGCGAUCCAUGACGGUAUCAACAGAAGAAGCACCGGCUAACUACGUGCCAGCAGCCGCGGUAAUACGUAGGGUGCGAGCGUUAAUCGGAAUUACUGGGCGUAAAGGGUGCGCAGGCGGUUCUGUAAGUCAGAUGUGA
rnacentral:rRNA from 1 species